AAGUCGUAACAAGGUUUCCGUAGGUGAACCUGCGGAAGGAUCAUUAACACGUUAUCCACGUAUCACCACAGAGAACCGUUUAAUCUAACCUCUGUUUGGGAAUGAACAGCAACACGAUAUAUAGAGUGGGUGGUCGGGACUGCUUCGCGGCGUCGGACUCUAUUUUGUUGUUCACACCGCAAGGUGUGUACUGUUGUAUCCCUUACAGUUGGCCCCUCUCAGCGCGCAAUUCUCCUUCCACGAGGUGAGCGCUGGGAAACGUAUCUAUAACCAUUCUAACCCCUUUUUGCUAGUUGACUUUUAUAUGUUGCUGCUUCUCUUGCUUCGGCAAUGGGUUCGGUACACGUUUAAUUAUUUGAACGUUAAAAAUACAACUCUUAGCAAUGGAUAUCUAGGUUCUC
rnacentral:misc_RNA from 1 species